GAUGAACGCUGGCGGCGUGCUUAACACAUGCAAGUCGAACGAUGAAGCCCAGCUUGCUGGGUGGAGUAGUGGCGAACGGGUGAGUAACACGGGAGUAACCUGCCCUUAACUCUGGGAUAAGCCUGGGAAACUGGGUCUAAUACCGGAUAGGAGCGUCCACCGCAUGGUGGGUGUUGGAAAGAUUUAUCGGGUUUGGAUGGACUCGCGGCCUAUCAGCUUGUUGGUGAGGUAAUGGCCCACCAAGGCGACGACGGGUAGCCGUACUGAGGGGGGGUCCGGCCACAGUGGGACUGGGAGACGGCCCAGACGUCUCCGGGAGGCAGCAGUGGGGAAUAUUGGACACUGGGCGAAAGCCUUAUGCAGCGACGCCGGGUGAGGGAUGACUGCCUUCGGGUUGUAAACCUCUUUCAGUAGGGAAGAAGCGAAAGUGACGGUACCUGCAGAAGAAGCACCGGCUAACUACGUGCCAGCCGCCGCCGUAA
rnacentral:rRNA from 1 species